rnacentral:rRNA from 1 species
UACGUAGGUGGCAAGCGUUGUCCGGAUUUAUUGGGUUUAAAGGGUGCGUAGGCGGCUUGUUAAGUCAGUGGUUAAAUCGUGUGGCUCAACCAUACUUCGCCAUUGAUACUGACAGGCUAGAAUAUGUCCGAGGAUACUGGAAUGAGUGGUGUAGCGGUGAAAUGCAUAGAUAUCACUCAGAACACCGAUUGCGAAGGCAGGUAUCUGGGGCGUAAUUGACGCUGAGGCACGAAAGUGUGGGGAGCAAACAGG